GCUAUGCUUGUCAAGUGAGCAGUCUUUUGCGAGUUAACCUUUGCCUCGUUGUCUGUUCGACCUUGAACAUACAUAUG
rnacentral:pre_miRNA from 1 species